UAGGGAAUCUUCCACAAUGGACGCAAGUCUGAUGGAGCAACGCCGCGUGAGUGAAGAAGGUUUUCGGACCGUAAAGCUCUGUUGUUGGUGAAGAAGGAUAGAGGUAGUAACUGGCCUUUAUUUGACGGUAAUCAACCAGAAAGUCACGGCUAACUACGUGCCAGCAGCCGCGGUAAUACGUAGGUGGCAAGCGUUGUCCGGAUUUAUUGGGCGUAAAGCGAGCGCAGGCGGAAGAAUAAGUCUGAUGUGAAAGCCCUCGGCUUAACCGAGGAAUUGCAUCGGAAACUGUUUUCUUGAGUGCAGAAGGGGAGAGUAGAACUCCAUGUGUAGCGGUGGAAUGCGUAGAUAUAUGGAAGAAUACCAGUGGCGAAGGCGGCUCUCUGGUCUGCAACUGACGCUGAGGCUCGAAAGCAUGGGUAGCGAACAGGAUUAGAUACCCUGGUAGUCCAUGCCGUAAACGAUGAGUGCUAAGUGUUGGGAGGCUUCCGCCUCUCAGUGCUGCAGCUAACGCAUUAAGCACUCCGCCUGGGGAGUACGACCGCAAGGUUGAAAC
rnacentral:rRNA from 1 species